rnacentral:rRNA from 1 species
UCGGGAAUUUUGGGCAAUGGGCGAAAGCCUGACCCAGCAACGCCGCGUGGAGGAUGAAGGUCUUCGGAUUGUAAACUCCUGUCGACCGGGACGAAUGCACUCGACCUAAUACGUCGAGCUGUUGACGGUACCGGUGGAGGAAGCCACGGCUAACUCUGUGCCAGCAGCCGCGGUAAUACAGAGGUGGCAAGCGUUGUUCGGAAUUACUGGGCGUAAAGGGCGCGUAGGCGGCCUUGUAAGUCUCGUGUGAAAGCCCUCGGCUUAACUGAGGAUCUGCACGGGAUACUGUAAGGCUCGAGUUCGGGAGAGGAAAGCGGAAUUCCGGGUGUAGCGGUGAAAUGCGUAGAUAUCCGGAGGAACACCAGUGGCGAAGGCGGCUUUCUGGACCGACACUGACGCUGAGGCGCGAAAGCUAGGGGAGCAAACGGGAUUAGAUACCCCAGUAGUCCCUGAGCGGGCUGGCAAGGCGCAU